rnacentral:rRNA from 1 species
GACGAACGCUGGCGGCGUGCUUAACACAUGCAAGUCGAGCGGUAAGGCCCUUUCGGGGGUACACGAGCGGCGAACGGGUGAGUAACACGUGGGUGACCUGCCCUCAGCUCUGGGAUAAGCCUGGGAAACUGGGUCUAAUACUGGAUAUGACUCCACGGUGCAUGUCGUGGGGUGGAAAGCCUUGUGCGGCUGAGGAUGGGCCCGCGGCCUAUCAGCUUGUUGGUGGGGUGANGGCCUACCAAGGCGACGACGGGUAGCCGGCCUGAGAGGGCGACCGGCCACACUGGGACUGAGACACGGCCCAGACUCCUACGGGAGGCAGCAGUGGGGAAUCUUGCGCAAUGGGCGAAAGCCUGGCGCAGCGACGCCGCGUGAGGGAUGACGG